CGUGAAGGGGUCAUCGUUCACCGCUGUUUGGCUGCGGGUCUGGAGGAUGCCUCUGCUCCGCCGAUCACACACUCGGUUCCGCUGUCAGUCCGAGGGAAGCAGCUGCAGCCAUGGCCUCGGACAACUGUCUGUUUGUGUGGUCUGAUCAGUGUGUCAUUGUGUGUCCCCUCUCCCUCUCCCUCCUCCUGCCAGUCACCCCAGAGGCCAUCGGCUUCCUGUCGGCGGUGGGCUUUUUCAUCGUGGCGCUGGCCGUCCUCUUCCUCUUUAUCAACAAGAAGCUGUGUUUCGCACGUGUCGGUGGAAUGCCCUGUCUGGAGCAACAUGGCCGCCGGAAGAAAGGACGACUGGGGGUCCGCCAGGGGCUCGUGAACAGCUACGGUGACGAUGAAGACGAUGCCACCAGCUCCUCUGACAGUGAGGACGAGGUCCUGAAGCAGUUUGAGAUCUCGGUGUCGCGUUCACAGAGUUUUCGCACCACAGCAGCUAACGGCAGUGAGCAGCAGCCCCAGCAGACUCAGCUGGCUUUGGGCCGACGCCACAAAUUCACCCGGCUGUCGGACCAGGAGGAGGGCAGCACAGAGCCGUCAGACUGUGAAGAAAUGGAGGCUCAGAGCCAGCAGGGUUUCCAGGACCCGCUCUCUGCAGCAGUAGAAGAGAGCGAGAGGGCGUCUGCGCUCUCUCUGGACAAACCUUCUGGACUCGAGGCAUCAGGCGCCAGGGACAGCCCCACCCCCAGUACGAGCCGACAGGACGCAGACGGCAGCGAGGGCACGGAGAAGGUCGUACGUCCCAACAAAAGUGAUGCCACAGACAGCUCCUCUACCUGGAGCCCUGAGCCAGAGCAGCCUCCCCUCGAUGAGGUCUUGUCUCAGCCGGUCAGCUCUUCCCCUCGACCUCCCAUCUCUAAAUGUGGAGACCUGGUCCUCUCUCUGGAGUACCGUCCCGACACAGAGAAGUUGCUGGUCUCCGUGAUCGCGGCCCGGGACAUCCCCGACAAGGCUCGCAGCGGGAUGGACUCCUGGCAGGUUCACAUGGUCCUGCUUCCCUCCAAGAAGCAACGCCACAAGACGUCAGUACAGAAGGGUUCACUGCCGCACUUCAACGAGACAUUUCGCUUCUCACGCCUGGAUCCUUCAGAACUACACAUGGCGGCCAUCAGGUUCCGGCUGUACGCGCUCGGGGGCAGGAUGUCCCGUGAGCGAAUGAUGGGUGAGAAGCUGCUGCGUUUAGGUGGGCUCGACCCGGACGGAGGGACGAUGGAGACGACGCUGGUUCUGGAGCCUCGCAGUAAUCUCAAGAGCGUGGACUCCCAGCUGAGCCUGUCUGCUGUGUCUCAGAGCGACAGCGCCUCGUCCACUCAGUCUCUGACCCACGGCGGCGUCCCCGAGCUGCUGGUGGGUCUCACCUACAACGCCACCACGGGACGCAUGUCUGUGGAGCUCAUCAAGGGCAGCCACUUCAGAAACCUGGCCAUCAGCAGACCACCAGACACCUAUGGGCGACUGACUCUGCUGAACUCCGUCGGUCAGGAGAUCUCUCGGUGUAAGACGUCUGUGCGUCGCGGCCAGCCCAACCCCGUCUACAAGGAGACCUUCGUCUUCCAGGUGGCGCUGUUCCAGCUGUCGGACGUCACGCUGCUGGUCUCCAUCUACAACCGCCGCAGCAUGAAGCGCAAAGAGAUGGUGGGCUGGAUCGCUCUGGGCCAGAACAGCAGCGGCGAAGAGGAGCAGCUCCACUGGCAGGACAUGAAGGAGAGUCGAGGACAGCAGGUCUGCCGCUGGCACGUCCUGCUGGAGGCGUAACGCCACCGAGAUUUAGGAUUUCUACUUUUAAGGCAGGAAGACCAGCAGCUGGAGACUCUUAACCCCGUUGAGAUGACAGCAUCACCCCCCCCUUCUGCCUCGUCGACACUGAUGAUGUUAUUUGGCCUCGCCUCGAUCUCCUUCACAGGGCAAAGCUCAUUUCAACACCCAUCAACGCUGAGCUGAAAAGAGGCUUUAAAUAUCUUACUGCAGCUGUUAUUAACAUGCGAUGAAUUACUCUGGAAGUGUGUGUGUGUGUGUGUGUGUGUGUGUCCCUCUCUAUGUGAUAAUUGGUAGUUACAGCUGUAGAGUCGUACAGUGUGAUGACGGUAAUGCUGCUGCUAAUGCUCAUCCUCUUCCAGUCUGAGCAUCAUUGAGUCACGAGUUCAGCCCGGAGGGGGGGGGAUUAUAUUUGUUUGUGUAGACAGAUACUGUAGCUCCAAAAACCGCUCGGGGGGUUCACACACACCGAGAGCAGAGAUGUGUUUAUGCGAGCGUUUGUUUUCUUCGGGCAGGUGAAACGAUGAAGUGCAGCUCGGUUUGUGAUCAGAAGAAAAUGACUUUAUGGGUGUAAUGAGAUGACUGUCGGUAAUUACUUUUGGAAAGUCAAGCAUAACGAAUGAACUGAGGGCUGAUGCUCAUAUUUACAUUCGUCAUGAGAGUUUUCGGGGGGUUGUGCCAUGGUUUUAAAAGACUUCAGCCUCCAGGCAAUUACAAUGGACGUGAAUCUAAUUUUGGAUUUUCUGCUCAAAGCAGUGAAAAUGUAUAUUAUAUAUGAAAAUGUCAACACAGAAACUGUUUUGCAUAAUCAUCAGACCUUAACUUAACUCUUUUUUUUUUUUUUUACAAAGAUAGAAAAUGUUGUCCAUUAUAUAUAAUUAUCCAUUAUAUGUUCUUUUUCUACCUGUUCUAACAUGCCUUUGAAGCUCUAUGAUACUACACUAAGUGAAAUAUUCACAACUAAGACCGAGUUUUGUUAUGGCUGCACUAUAUUCUAGAUGUGCGUCAUUUCAUGCAUUUUACGUCCCCAAAGUUCUGACAUACUUGGUAUCUUCAUUUUCCAAACAAAGUUUAAACCAACAAAUGUGGUUUAAACUUUGUUUGGAAAAUGUGAGUUUAUAACCAAAUGGGUACAUUGAUAUUGGACGAUUAUAUGUAUGUAAUUUGUUGGGAUAUCAGGCUGUAAUUCAAGUUUGGCAGUUAGCUGGUGCUAGCUGUCUCUUUGGCUCUGUCCUCUGAGGUUUGAGAUGAACUCCACACUCAACACAACUUCACCUCCAAAGCGAUUUUGUCGUGUUUGUACAAAAACGUGAUUGUUAUUGCAUCAUAAAACAGAAUUUUGUUAUUAGCCUACUAUAGUGAAAUAAUUAAAAACAUGGAUCAGCCUCAGACAGCAAAUUUCAUUUAAAAAAAAAACAUUUUGUUGCACGUAAAACUAUGCUAGCACAGUACUGUAUAUUACAAAACAGUAUUCUAUUUAUUGGUAGUAGUUUUUGUCAAUAAGUCAUCUAAACGCUGGUCCUACUGCUAUGAAAUGUUCUGCCAAAAGUUUUGUUUGGCAUACGACCUGUCACACGAUUUGAUAUCAGCACUGCUAUUCUACAGGCUUCAUACAUGUAAGUGUGAACAGUGACAUGAACUUAUAUUUACUGCACAGACUGAUAUAUUUUAUGCAUGUCGAGUUGUUGUACAGAAUCUAUAAUAUCUAUUCUAUAUUUUCUAAAAUAGUAAAUGUUUAAUGUUCUUAAGUAUUUCCCAGGAUUUCUAUUGUAUUUACACAUCUGCAUGCUCAGUUUGGGAUCCCAGCUUGUAUUACAGAUGUGUGCUGCAGAUGUGAUACAGCUGUAAUACUCUGAUGAAGUGCCUGUGACAUUUUGAGAAAGAUGAAACAUAUCCAACAUGACGAGGAGAUGAUCCAAAUUUGCAUGAAGCCUUUUUCGUUGUUCCCUGCGAAUGCUGCUGUAGAACUGCAUGCAUGGAAGGUGACUACAGGGCAGGCCUCCUAACGUCAAGGCCUGGACCAGGGCUGAAGUCCAAGACCAAAGUCUACACCAGGUCUACAGGGGGUCGAAACCUCAAAAUUCAAAUAUACAAACAAAUACAAACUCUUUCUAAACUUGUGAAAAGUGAAUUUGUCGUCAUCUUUUUUUUUUACUUUGAGGGAACACAUGACCUAGGGAACUAAAUAACUAUAUUAAGUUCAUACAUUUGGAGGAUUAGUUAAUUGGGGACAGAUGUAACUACUAAGAGGGAUAUAAAGUAUUUUAAAAAUCUCUCACUUGACCCUGUAGGAACUUCGUGGGUGUGAAUUUUGCUGUAGUUCAUAUUUUUCUCAGUUAGGUUACCCUAACUUUGACGUAACAUGGCAAAGGCACUUUUAACUGGUGUCAAAAAACAAUGCGUAAAAAGGAAUAGUUUGAUAUUUUGGGAGAUACGCUUAUUUGCUUUCUUUACAAGUUUUAGAUAAGAAGAUUGAUACCAAUCUCAUGUCUGUGCGUUAAGUACAGAGCUGGAGUCAGGACAUGGUUAGCCUAGCUUAGCAUACAGACUGGAAACAAGGGGAAACAGCUAGCCAAGGGUCUUUAACAUGUAUAGAAAUGUAAAAACGACAGCUUUUGGUUUUAAAAAGUUAUGUGGUGUAACUAUUUCUUUGCAGUUUGUCCGUCCGCCCAGUACUUGUGUGCUACAGGACGUGGUCUUUAAACAAACAAGAUGUGUUAAUUAGUGAGCUUUAGAGAUGUUGGCAGGUGUGUUUUCUAACUUUGGACAGAGCCAGGCUAGCUGUUUACCUCUGCUGCCAGUGUUUAUGCUAAGCUAGGCUAAUUGCCUCCUCAUUCUAGGUCCGUACUUACCGCACAAACAUGGGAGUAGUAUUGAUCUUCUCAUCUGACUCCCAGCAAAUAAGCAUUUCCCAAAAUGUGGAACUAUUCCUUUAAAUGUUACACAGUGAGCCUGCGUCAAACAGAGCUUGUUGUCAAGGUAAAUUUAACCAUAUUCAGAAAGCCAUUUACUGUCAGUCUGUGUAUCUUUUGGUAUUGUAAUUUUCCUUUUAGAAACAGAAAUGAAAAUUUAAAGAUAAAAGGUUAUAAUCUUUGUCCAAAAACAAGGAUUUUUUUUUUGUAAUCCAUUGUCAAAAACAUAAGAUUAAAAAUGGACUUGAUUAAAAUUUUCUCCCUGUAAAUAUAUAAAAAAAAGACAAAAAAUAAAAUCGUAAUAACACAAAAACUACCACACUGUCCCCGUUUGAUUUUCUUUACACCCUGUAACUGUUCUGCAGUGGACAGCACUGAGACAGGUCUGAGGCACUGACACUGUAAAGGCAGUAGAGACUUUAGUCCUGGUCUGGGCCGUGCACGCUGAGCCCCACCGCGACGCCCAGAAAGCACUUUUUGUACCAAGUUUUUGUCGUUGCCAAUAAAACCCAGAAGAUCCCUGCUGUGGAAACGUCUGUCUGCCAUCUGUUCUCUUUGGUCCGUCUCUCCGUCCUGAGCUCUGUUCAGAUGUCUUAAUUCUGAGAAUGAGGUCAUAGUUAACAACAAUAACGAAAUCGCAGUUCGUCGUCCCCCCUGUGAUUGGCAGUAGAGAUUUCCAGUUUCACGCAGGAAAUCACACAGAGUGGAUUAGAGAUCAGGGAAAGUAUUUCGUGGGGUUUUUUUUUUUUUUUUUUAAAGUGUUCUGGGGGAGUUUAGUCUGCUCUUUGGCGACAGAUGCUUUGGUUUUUUAGAUUUGCAGACAUGGAUUUGCAGCUUGUUUGUGUUGUUGUUGUUUAUUAGCUGUAUAGUGUCGAGUGUUCAAUUAACCGUUACUCUUUCUAAAAGUAAACACUGGGCGGGUGUGGCGGUAUAUAGCAUGAAAACACUUGAAACCUCUUUUAUGUUCCUGAGACUCAACAAUUAAUUUUUGAAACUUUAAUGAAUCCAUUCACCUGCCAGUGGGUCACUAUAAUCUACAAUUUAUUUUCUUAUAGUACCACACAAGGACUGGCAAUUAACAGCCAAUAAACAGUAAUCUUACCACUUUUAAUGAUGUUUUUAAUCACCUAUAUAUGACUGUACUGUUCCAGUAAUGUUCCUACUGAGAUUUACUUCAGCAUGAUGCAGGACCUGCUUGGCAUGAGCCAGAUAGUAUUCCCUAAUCCACUGUGGAUAUCUUAAUAUGUUUUACUCCUUAAUUAAUAUUUGCAUCUUGAACAGUGUCACACUACGGUUGUCUAUUAUGAUGUGAUUACCUUUUCAGGUGUCUAUGAUACUUUUGUAUCGUGUCUGUUUCCUGUAUAAGUUGUAUCGAUUGUUCAUAUGAUUAAAUUUUCUAGUUUUUAGUUCCUAAUUUUUCUUGAUUUCCGCCUUGAUAGAGGUUGGUGGACCAAAAACACUGGACGAAAAAAUGGAAAUAGGUCCAGGACUCAAAGUCUGAUUUUUCUUACAUUUUUUAGAAAUACAUCAACAUGUUGUCAAUAAACCAAAAAAAAAAACACACCAAAUAUAAAUUUAAUUUAACAGUACAAAUGCACAAAAGUUUUUCAAAAUAAACAUAAACAUACUGAAUCUACAUGAAGAUAAGAUAUUAACUUCAUUUAUCCUGAGGGAAACUGUUGUUGCAGUACAAAGGGUGCAAAUAUAAAAUAUCAAUAAGGUGCAAAUCCAAAAUAUACACAGUGCCAAAAAAUAUAAACAGGAACAUAAAAUAAAAACAGAUCAGUGGUUCUCAAACGUUUUCAUAGAAGCCAAAAAUAAUUUAUGCACCCAACCCCAGUGUAACAUAACAGAUUUCAUUUUUAUUAGUCGUCAACAAUAUUGGGAGAACUAAACAAGCCAAGUUGAAUUUUAUUGAAAAGUUUAAGAUGGUAUUGCUAGCGACAGGGCUUUCUGUUCAUUGUCAUUUAUCAUUUUCAUUCAACUUUAGCUCUACAUUUCCCAGUUUGAGGACCGCUGGACUAGAAAUUACAUAAAAAGUAUGUUAUAUAUUCAUAUAUGAUCUAAAUAUAUGUGUAUAUAUAAUAUACUAUAAAAUGAGUAUAUUAGGAUAAUGAGAUAAAAGCCUAGUCAUGUAAGAGAAAACAGAACAAAACAACAUGGUUUUGUACUUUUGGAGGCAGGAAAGUUUGUCUCGCUGUGAAAAAACCAUUCAGCGAUGGAUGCGGGAAGAUGAGGGUUGAUGCAGGAGCGUCAUCACCGCGCCUACUCAGUCUCCUAGCAACAGGAAACAUCAGCCUCCGCGAGGACCAAUGAGGGCGCGCGGAGAGCGGUGCGUGCUGUCUCUUGUUUGUGUGAACGGGAUAUUUUAGGAGGCUGGAGAGCAGCGAGCGUCUCACCCCGGAGGAGCUGGAGCUGUCUGCCUGCCUGCCUGCCUGCCUGCCUGCCUGCCUGCAGGAACCGAGGGAGGCUCUGACUUCAGGCCGAGCUGGAGCGUCGCUGAAUCGGAGCGAGGACGGUAGAUGUCGCGCCAAGGAGCGGAGGACAUCCACGGAGAGAGAGGCUUUAAGGGGGAUUUACUGAACUGCUCCUGCUGCACGGAAUUAUUUAAAGCAGGAGCCUGAGGGCGAUGUGGAGCCUCAGAUCAGCUCAGACGCACUGAUUCAAACUCCGGUCAGAGAGCUGAGCGUCGGCUGUGGAGCGUCAGCAGCAGCCCCUUUCCUGUGAGAGAGACCAAACCAUUCAACAACGUCGAAAGUUGCUUACUUCAAGAGGAAAUAUGCGGAGGAGGAGGAUUUACACGGAGGCCUACAUGGAUAUUUUCAAAAACACCUGAUACUGCAGGAGGACCGGAGCUGCAUCCUCAAGCUGUCCCUGGAGAAGCUGAGGUUCCUGGAGGACCCUGAGGCCUACCUGCGGCGCUCCGUCCUCAUUAACAACCUGCUGAGGAAGAUCCACCAUGAGGAGGAGGAGCUGGAGGCCGAAGAGGAGGAGGAAGAAGAAGAUGAAGUAGAAGAAGAGGAAGAAGAAGAAGAGGAGGUCACAGGAGAGAGGGGGCAGCGGAGGCUGUUGUACCCGGACAGGAAGAGGGUGAAGGUGUUGGUGAUGGACUGCUGCUCUCCAGCGUUCGGCCUGGAGGAGCUGCAGCAUUACCGGCUGGUGCCCUGUUACCCGUCAGCCGGAUGCCUGUACAGCCUGGGUACCUGCCCGGGCCUCGCCCCCAACCACCAGGUCCUUCUGUACAACCUGGACGACAACGGCUGACUGUCCAGACCUCGCUGUCACGCCUCUUUUCUAAGCUGGGAAAAGCUACGUCAGUUCACGUUACAGGCAUGUGGACAUGAACUGAUUGUUCAAAAUCACCAGGAGGAAAGCUGCCGUAGCUUUCCCUCGGUCUCUCGCUAAAAACCCUUUGAGGGACAUGUGUCGUAGGGUCUGUUUUGUUCGUUGCCGGGAUGUCACCUCCUCUCAUCACCUUGCUAAGAGGCAGCGGUGGAUAUGAGACGCUGAGAAACCCUGAUUCUUCUUCAGCCUCGGGAUCAGCAGGGUCUCUGAUGUUGAUGUCAAACUCUGUCGCAGCGUCACUGCCAUUUACGUGAAGCAGGCAGGAAUUUGUUUUUGCUGUUGAUGUUGUGUUAUUGAUUUUUAUUGUCAUUGUUGCUCAUGUGAACCGUGAGCACAUUCAGGGAUUUACAGACUGCAAGCUACUUUUGAUGCACCUUGGCUUGCGUGGAGAACAUGCGCUGAUAUGCUUCUGUUAUCUUUUCAUGCUACUGUGUGAUUUAUGAAAUAUUCUGUGUAACAUUCCCUGGACUGUGUGAAUUGUCAUGCUAUCCCAAAAUACUCAUUCUCUGAGGUGCGUUUACUGCCCGUGGGAUGACUGUUUCUUUCUCUGUAUUUGAUGUCCUGUGUUCAUUCAAUAUGCUGUUAGUUAUUUUCCUUUUGCACCACUUUGCUGCCCUCUGCUGGUGGAAGAAUUCAUCAUGUGUUCAAAUCUCACAAUGCAAGAAAAUUAUGAGAAAAGAUGGUAACACUUUACUUUAAGUCUCCCUAUUUUACAAUUUUAAGCAAUAUAUAAACCUUUAAUAAAUGGUUUAUAACACACUAUAAUGCAGUUAUGUUUAUUAAUAUAUUUCCCAACAACUAUAAUUCAUAAGUGGAUGCUGGUGUAUAAAUGUAAUGAAUGACAAUAUAGUAAAAUACAGAUAUAAUAAUGUAAAAUGUCUCUUCACAGGAGAAAAUACUGUACAUUAAUAAACAAGUAACACGUCCUUAUAUCUGUGUACAACUAGAUUAUAGUGUGUUAUAAACCAUAUAUUAAAUGUUUAUAAUGCUAAAUAGUGGGGUUAAAAUAAAAUUUUACCAAAAAGAGUAAACAUCUUUCUUUGUUGUUUUCCCUUUAAAGUUAUAUGGUGAAAGAAAUCAUGUUUUGCUUUCUUGUGUUUUUAAAAAAAAAAAGCUCUAAGAAGUCACAACACUUUUUUAUGCUACCAAAUCAUUUGUUUGUGAUUGAUUUUCAGCCCUAUUGUGUUUUAAAGCUGAAUUUCAGAGAGCAGAAUGUCUUUAAAUUGAUAUUAUAUUCCAUAUUUUCUAAUUAUCAGUCCUGGUUAUAACAGCAGAUGCAGUGUUGUUUUGCUUAUAAAGCUGACUAAUCUGCUGUAUGACAACGGUGAUUAAUGAUUCAUCCUUUUUCACUGUCUCUUUCUGUGUUUUGAGUGUCCGGUCUCUGUCCAGGAGUUUCACUGGGUUAGAAAAUUUGCAUCUUGAAUAACAAUCACUACUAAAAUAAACAAACAACAACAACAAACUGCAGGCAACUAUUAAAGAGAAGCUUGAUAUUUUAAAGCAAGAAUUUAUAUUUUGAUGAAUAUGCAUAUUCAAUAUUUAGACUAUUUUGAAAAAGGGCCAUUAAACUUUUUUCAGGUGAUUUGAUUAUCAAAUAAAGUAAGGUGACGAUA